GCGUCGCUCACGCUGGGAGCUGUAGACCGGAGCUGUUCCUAUUUGGCCAUCUUGGCUCCUCCCCCGACAAUUUCUAGAAAAAGUCAUAAGAUCAGCAAGAAGAGAAACUGUAGAUUUGCCUCAACUCAACAUGUUAAGUAAUCGCCUGACAUCUACAUAAGACCACCUCUUGGCACCUGGCUACACAAGCUGAAAUGGGUGAAUGGUUAAACAAAUUGUGGUACAUUCCUACAAUGAAAUACUACUCAGCAAUAAGAAGGAAUAGACUGUUGAUACGUUCAACAAGUUGGGUGAAUCUCAAAGACACUAUGCUGAGUAAAAGAAGCCAUCUCAAAAGGGCUGCAUACCAAAAGGAACAAAAGCACAAAACAAACAAACAAACAAACAAACAAGCAAAUGAUGGUGGAAACUAUUUUCAAAACUUCCCUGUUCUGGUAAAGACGUUUUCAGAGCUCAAACUAGUCCUGCUGAAAAUAUUUUUUAAAAUAUGAAAGCAUAGCGGAAAAUUUGUAUGAAAAAGAAAAAAGAAAAAGAAGGAGGAGGAAGAAGAAGAAGAAAGAAGAAAAAGGAGAGGAAGAAGAAGAAGGAGGAGGAGGAGAAGAAGAGGAGGAGGAGGAGGAGGAAAUGGCAGAGACAAUGUAUGUCCCAGAAAGCCUAAAAUGUGUACUGUUUGUCCGUUUAUAGAAAAAGUGUGCCAGUCCCUACUCUGUUCCCAAUUUUAAAAACAAAUAAAUAAAAAGAAAAACAAGCAAGUCUCUCAGCCAAGAAAGAAUCGAUGGGAACUUUUUCAACUUUAUAAAGUGGAUCUACAAAAAACUACAACUAACACUAACGUCACACCUAAUGGUGAAAGUCUGAAUGUUUUCCCUCUAAGACUAGGAAAAGGUGGCAUGGAUGUCCACUCUCCCUACUCUAUUCAGCAUUGUAUCAAAAGUUCUUAUCAGUGAAAUAAGACAAGAAAACAAUAAAUGGCAUCCAUAUUGGAAAAGAAGUAACACUGUCUUUAUUUGCAGAUGACAUUAUAAUCUAAAUAGAAAAUCUUAUGGAAUCUGCUAAAAAGCUAAUAGAACCAAUAAGCGAGUUUAGCAUAGUUACAAGACACAACAUAUAAAAAUUAAUUAUAUUUCAAAAUACUAGCAAUGAACAAUUAAAUUUUCCUUUUAAAAUUUUC
rnacentral:lncRNA from 1 species